CGAACGGGUGAGUAACACGUGGGCAACCCUGCCCAAAAGAGGGGGAUAACACUUGGAAACAGAUGCUAAUACCGCAUAACCAUAGUUACCGCAUGGUAGCUAUGUAAAAGGUGGCUAUGCUACCGCUUUUGGAUGGGCCCGCGGCGCAUUAGCUAGUUGGUGGGGUAAAGGCUUACCAAGGCAAUGAUGCGUAGCCGAACUGAGAGGUUGAUCGGCCACAUUGGGACUGAGACACGGCCCAAACUCCUACGGAAGGCAGCAG
rnacentral:rRNA from 1 species